rnacentral:rRNA from 1 species
AUACGGAGGAUCCGAGCGUUAUCCGGAUUUAUUGGGUUUAAAGGGUGCGCAGGCGGCCAUUUAAGUCAGCGGUUAAAUCGUGGGGCUCAACCCCAUUCUGCCGUUGAUACUGGGUGGCUUGAUUGCGGUCGAGGUUGGCGGAAUUCGUUGUGUAGCGGUGAAAUGCAAUGAUAUGACGAAGCACACCGAUUGCGUAGGCAUCUGACCAGAUCGAAAAAUACGCUCAUGCACUAAAGUGCGGUGGUCGAACAGGAUUAGAUGCCCUUGUAGGCCGCACAGUAAACGAUUAAUACUUGUUUUCGGCGAUAUAAUGUCAGAGGUAAAGCGAAAGUGAUAAGUAUCCCACCUGGGAAGUACGGUGUUAACGGUGAGACUCAAAUGAAUUGACGGGA